GCGGUGUCACGUCAACUAAUGGCCAGCUUUUAUAUGAAGCUUCCAAUUGAAUCCUCAAGUGGAAACAAAAACAAUUUAUCAAGCAAGUGUAAUUACGCAAAACUAUGUUUUGGUUAGCUGCUACGAGAGGACAUGUCAUCACUGUCGAAAACAAUCCCGCAGAGAGUUGAUGCAGUUAAAUGGCCCUGCUUACUUCAUUUCCGGUUACGAGCAGAGGCAAUGAGGGAUGAUAAGGUCCAAUGCUAUGCUUGUUGCUCUUUAUGGUGUGGUCACGCAACCCCUGUAAUUGGGCAAUCAGAGAGAGACGCGUAUAUACAAACACACACACACACACACACACACACACGCACGACUCUGAACUGGGGAACUGUUCUAUUUAAUGCAAAAAAAGGGGAAAAAAGUUGCAGUGAUUAGUGAUUAAAUAUGACCCUUGCUAUUUUCUUUGUGGGCACACAUCUCUUGUUUUGGAUCUCACUAGCUUUUCAUUUGCAGUGUUUUUAGGGGGCUGGAUGGAGCCCACCACCAUGUUAAAAAAAAAAAGAUACAAGUAUAAUGUCGACACGGUGUACGAUUGGUUAGCACAUCCGCCUCACAGUGCAGAGUUGCAGAGUUCGAUUCUGGCUCUGGCCUUCCUGUGUGGAAUUUGCAUGUUCUCCCCAUGCCUAGGUGGGUUCUCUCUGGUGACUGCCGUUUCCUCGCAAUUUCAAAAACAUGCAUGGCAGUUGUGGGUGUGUGUAGGAAUGAUUGUUUGUCUGUGUUUGCCCUGCGAUUGGCUGAGAGUUCAAGGUGUACUCUGCCUACUGCCCGAAGUUAGCUGGCAUAGGCUCCAGCAUGCCCGCAAACCUUUUUGAGGAUAAGCGGAUCAGAAAAUGGAUGGAUGGAUGAUACAAGUACAUACCAAAAUGCAUAGUAUAACAAACUUACAAAGUUACAAAUUGUAAAGUGUAAGCAAGGUCUGUUAGAACUUGCACCCGAACCGAACUCCAAAAUUGCUACUCACAGUUAUUGUCCCUCCCCCACAAGUUCUUCUGCAAAUUGCUCCCUGGAUCACACUUGAAACCCAUGCUGCUUGGUUGCAGAUACCCAUGACCAACCUUAUUAUACACUUACCCAAUUCCCUAGUGCAGUAAGUUGGAGGGCAAAGGGGCACUCGCAUAUACGAGCCAGCACGCACAUGCUGUCCGGUUUAUCGGGUGGCAACAAAGGUCGUCAAGUGCGCGGGGAGUGUGAAAGGAUAUUGACAAAGUGCAUCAAGUUUGUAUCCAGGCCUGGCUUCUGCCCAGCUGGCUUUGGCCCACGAUGCAGGUGCCACAUGAGAUCACCAGCCAAACUCGUACAACCCAUAUCGCUGUCCGGCUACUGUGAGGCUCCACAACAGGUGCAGUAAGGUUAGGCUGCAGGCAUCAACAGGCAAGGAAACAGACUGUUAUUGUGGACCUUCCUUCCAUCAUCUCCUCUUUUUUCACCCUACCCCAACCCCCUCCAUCCCAUCCCUCUUGUCCCCUCUCACCCUCCACCGCCUCUCUUCCCAAUAGCCCCAGGGAGCAAUCGAGAGGUCCAACCUGGACGUGUAACCUGAGUGCAACUCUUGUGUAUCGUGCAAGGAUGUUGAAAAGAGGAGGGGAAAGUGGAGGAUAUGUUGCACAUGGGCAGCUUGGCAAUUUGUCCUUGGGCCUGGAUGAAAGUCUGUGAUGGGAGGUUUCUCUGAGUUGGAGAGAAGUCAGCUGGAGACCUGAUGUAGUCAUAAAAUUAAAAAAAAUAAUAAUUUAUGAAUCUAUGGCUUUAGUAACACAACCUCUAACCGUUUGUUUACAUCUCCUGUGCUUUUCAAAUUCAACAUUUUCUCAUGAUAUGCUUUUAAUACAGUAGAAUCUGCUAACACAAUCUGUUGAAAAUUUAAACACAAGAGUAACAAAAAUA